AAAUAUAUUGAGUGCAAACCUGCAUCCAGGAACAGAGCAUUUUACUCCUCCCUCAGAAUGAAUGGAGACCAGAAAUUGGACGCUUACACCCAAGAAAGGCAGGAUUUCAUCCAGCACUUCUCGGUGCUGACUGAGGAGGACACUGGGCACCCAGAGACAGGAGAUGCCAUUACCCGACUCAAGGAGGUCCUGGAGUACAGUGCCAUCGGAGGCAAGUACAGUCGGGGUUUGAUGGUGGUGGUAACGUUCCAGGAGCUUGUGGAGCCCGGGAAACAAGAUCCUGACAGUCUCCAGUGGGCCCUGACUGUGGGCUGGUGUGUGGAACUGCUCCAAGCCUUCUUCCUGGUGUCAGAUGACAUUAUGGACUCAUCCCUCACCCGCCGGGGGCAGACCUGCUGGUAUCUGAAGCCAGGCAUAGGUCUGGAUGCCAUCAAUGAUGCUUUCCUUCUGGAAUCAUCCAUCUAGCGCCUGUUGAAGCUGUACUGUCAGGAGCAGCCCUAUUACCUGGACCUGAUUGAGCUCUUCCUGCAGAGUUCUUAUCAAACUGAGAUCGGACAGACCUUGGACCUCAUCACAGCCCCCCAGGGCAAUGUGGAUCUUGGCAGAUUCACAGAAAAAAGGUAUAAGUCUAUUGUCAAGUACAAGACAGCUUACUACUCCUUUUACCUUCCUGUAGCUGCUGCCAUGUGUAUGGCGGGCAUUGAUGGGGAGGAGAAUGCCAAUGCCAAGAAGAUCCUGCUGGGGAUGGGAGGGUUCUUUCAGAUUCAGGAUGAUUACCUUGAUCUCUUUGGGGACCCCAGCGUGAUGGGUAAGGUCGGCGCAGACAUCCAGGACAACAAGUGCAGCUGACUGGUGGUUCAGUGUCUGCAGCGGGCCUCUCCAGAACAGCGCCAAAUCCUGCAGGAGAACUAUGGGCAGAAGGAGGCUGAGAAGGUGGCCCGAGUGAAGGCGCUCUACGAGGAGAUGAAUCUGUCGGCUGUGUACAUGCAAUACGAGGAAGACAAUUACAGCCACAUUAUGGGUCUCAUCGAGCAGUAUGCUGCACCCCUGCCCCCAGCCAUCUUCCUGGGGUUAGCGCAAAAGAUCUACGAGCGGAAAAAGUGACCUAGAGUCUGUGAAGGUGGGGAAGGGAGGCUUCUCAAUAAAUUAUUGUCUAACCUGU